rnacentral:rRNA from 1 species
UACGAAGGGGGCUAGCGUUGUUCGGAAUUACUGGGCGUAAAGCGCACGUAGGCGGCUUUCUAAGUCGGGGGUGAAAUCCUGGAGCUCAACUCCAGAACUGCCUUUGAUACUGAGAAGCUUGAGUCCGGGAGAGGUGAGUGGAACUGCGAGUGUAGAGGUGAAAUUCGUAGAUAUUCGCAAGAACACCAGUGGCGAAGGCGGCUCACUGGCCCGGUACUGACGCUGAGGUGCGAAAGCGUGGGGAGCAAACAGG